CCCCUCUCAGGGUUGCACCUGGAGAGUGUCCAGUACGUUACCAUUCUCGGCUAUGGGAGGGAGAGUCAAGCAGAGGUCUACCCAUUCCAUUCCUAGCUUGGACAGUGGCUAGUGAGUGGAAGGAAAUCUGCUACAAGU